GGAAGGAUCACUAGAGAACACACGCUUCUUCGGAAGCUCUCUACCCUUUCACACACACCCUGUGCACCGUUGCCCGUGUCCCUGGCCCAUGCUUCGUUUGGUGCUGGGAUGCGCGGCUUUUCCAUACCUUUUUUUUGAAACGCAAGUGAAUGCAUGUAUAACCAUAUUCUAAAUCAAUAUAACUUUCAACAACGGAUCUCUAGGUUCUCGCAUCGAUGAAGAACGCAGCGAAUUGCGAUAAGUAAUGUGAAUUGCAGAAUUCAGUGAAUCAUCGAAUCUUUGAACGCAUCUUGCGCUCUCUGGUAUUCCGGAGAGCAUGCCUGUUUGAGUGUCAUGAAACUCUCACCCCUGCCCUUUCUUCACGGACUGGGUCCUGGGCGUGGACGUGAGCGUGUGCGGGUGCCCUGGCUGCAUCGGCUCGCUUGAAAAGCAUUAGCUGAAUCCUCGCGGGCGUGGUUCGACUCAACGUGAUAAGGAAUUCUCGUUGGGGACAGUGCCGUGUGUGUGAACCACAGACGGGCUGGCCACGGACGCGGGUGGAAUCGCUUCUAACCAGCACAGACUUCGGGAGCUGGCAACACUCUAUUUUGACCCUCUGGCCUCAAAUCAGGUAGGACUACCCGCUGAACUUAAGCAUAUCAAUAAGCGGAGGAAAAGAAACUAACAAGGAUUCCCCUAGUAACGGCGAGUGAAGCGGGAUGAGCUCAAAUUUAAAAUCUGGCAGCCUUCGGUUGUCCGAGUUGUAAUUUCGAGAAGCGUUUUCCGCGGCGGCCUGUGUACAAGUCCCUUGGAAUAGGGCGUCAUAGAGGGUGAGAGUCCCGUCCUUGACACAGACAACCGUUGCUUUGUGAUACGCUCUCCAUGAGUCGAGUUGUUUGGGAAUGCAGCUCAAAAUGGGUGGUAAAUUCCAUCUAAAGCUAAAUAUUGGCGAGAGACCGAUAGCGAACAAGUACCGUGAGGGAAAGAUGAAAAGCACUUUGGAAAGAGAGUCAAACAGUACGUGAAAUUGUUGAAAGGGAAACGAUUGAAGUCAGUCGUGCCUGCCUUGAUUCAGCCGGCCUUGUGCCGGUGUAUUUCUUGGCUGGGCAGGUCAGCAUCACUUUGGCAGAGUCGACAAGGGUCCAGGGAAUGUGGCAUCCUCGGAUGUGUUAUAGCCCUGGAUCGCAUUGGCUUUGGUGGAGUGAGGAACGCAGUGCGCCCGAAAGGGUGGGUCCGUUGGACACCUUCGCACUUAGGAUGCUGGCGUAAUGGCUUUAAACGACCCGUCUUGAAACACGGACCAAGGAGUCUAACAUGUUUGCGAGUCUUUGGGUGGCAAACCCAUGGGCGCAAUGAAAGUAAAUGCAGGUGGGAUCCGCAAGGAGCACCAUCGACCGAUCUGGAUCAUUUAUGUGAUGGAUUUGAGUAAGAGCACAUAUGUUGGGACCCGAAAGAUGGUGAACUAUGCCUGAAUAGGGCGAAGCCAGAGGAAACUCUGGUGGAGGCUCGUAGCGAUUCUGACGUGCAAAUCGAUCGUCAAAUUUGGGUAUAGGGGCGAAAGACUAAUCGAACCAUCUAGUAGCUGGUUCCUGC
rnacentral:misc_RNA from 1 species